rnacentral:tRNA from 1 species
GGCCAAGUGGUGGAACGGCAGACACACGGCACUCAGAAUGCCGUGCCCGCACGGGCGUGGGAGUUCAAAUCUCCCCUUGGUCA